GUGCUCCGUUCGUCAGCACAUAUACUAAAAUUGGAACGAUACAGAGAAGAUUAGCAUGGUGCGUGGCAAGGAUGGCACACAAAUUUGUGAAUCGUUACAUAUUUUU
rfam:Xenopus laevis strain J chromosome 5S, whole genome shotgun sequence.